rfam:Haemonchus placei strain MHpl1 genome assembly, scaffold: HPLM_scaffold0002365
GGCACAAACUUCAAGUAGUGUAGUUUGGUAGGGUCAGCUGAUCGUACUGUCUACUCUACUUCAAAUUUGGGCUC